rnacentral:lncRNA from 1 species
UUCUGAUUCACUAAAGUUUCUUUUCUCAAAAUAACACGUUGCGUAAGGAUGGGAAGACAAGGAAAACAAACGGACAGUCUGAAUACUACAGACCGUCCUCAUCACUUCAGAAAUACUGAAACUCAGAAGAGCAAGACACCUCAUAAAAACACUUGCCCCAAAAGCUGACAACCUGAAUUCUGCCUCUGGAACCACAUAAAGACGCAUUAAAGCUUUACUGCAGAAGGAUCCGAAUGUCCUGUGAGGUUCUUGCCGGCAAGACUAUCUCGCGGGACAUCUGGUGCCGAAACCCGGGAACUUGUUAACAUCGCCGGCACUGCGGAGACCCCUCGGACGAGGCGGAUUCAGAACUGCAGGGUGGACGAAGAGAAUCCCCUGUGGAUCCCGGAAAGACUCACCCAAAGAGCCCCUUCAGACACUCAGAAGUCGAAACUCCACCUUCUCCCCGGGAGUUGAGAGCCCUAUUAUCCAGAUUAACUCCAUGCACCUUGACCUGUCCUUGACGGAGGGAUUGUCAUCAUGGAUCGCUUCAGCUGUCUCCUAUUUUAAGGACUGGGUGGAGGGGUGGGACUUUUUGGCACAAUUCUCUGCAGUGGUGUGGUGUUUAUGCUUGGGACUGUGUGUAGACUCAAAACCCAAACAAAAAAGGUAAGGUAGUGGUUGCACAGGCACUUGCUGCCCUAGAGAAUGGAAUCUCCCCCGGCAAUUGUCUAAGCAUGUUGAGGCAAUAGGUCGCCGACUGCUCAGCUCCUGCAUCUCCGGAGGCUUGACCUCAUUGCACAGAAUAGAGUGAGCAAGGUUCGGCAGGUCAAAAGAGUUGUAAGGCUAAGCACUGCACAGAAAGGGCCUGCGGCUUUUCUUGUGGCUCUUCUGGGAGACAUGUCAUCUUGCAUGAAGGUUAUAUGUCAUAAUGCCCUUCCCCCAGAAAAAGACAUAAGGACGGGUCUGGGCCUGCUCUGGACACAGAGUCUGGAGUCCUGCUCAAGACAAGGUCUGCAUCCAGUUUUGGGGAGUUGACCUCUAUCUCCACUCUGCAUUUGGCUGGCCUAUAGCCUCUGUGUUUCUAUAUAAUUAUAUAGGGGGAGAUGUGAGGAGCCGCACUCACAUUCGCCAUUACAAGAUGGCGCUGACAUCCGCUGCCGGAUCAAGUAAACAACGUUGGUAUACAUGUGCCCAGUGUUUUUCCACUGCCUAGCCCUGCCUAUUCCAUGGCGUCAUAUAGGGUCAUGCACCUAUCCCAGCUGUACACGCAUCGCUCAGAGUUUGUGAGCCUUUAUAAGGGGACGGGAUUCUUGGCUCGGGGUCUCCGCUCUGGUAAGCUUAUGCUCUCCUCUCAAGACGCAUUAAAGCUUUACUGCAGAAGGAU